CAACUAGCAACCCUGCGGCGAGAAGAGCAGGAAAGCCUGAGAGGGGAGGAGGAGCAAAAGUCCCCCCUCUUUCCCCCUUUCCGAAACCAGAAAUCUGAAGGUUGUUCAGUCUCUGAAGGAUGUUAUUGAUGGAUGAGAUUGCCCAAAUUCCGGGAUAUAUGCUUUUCAAUAUGUACUGGAUAUUCUACCUGACUAGAAAACUUUACAAAGAAUUUAAUCUAAGAUGAAUUCUAGUGUACUGUGUCUACUGAGACUUGGGUUCUGGGGAAGAUGAGGAGUCAAGAAUCUCAAUGGAAAAUGAGAUGAAAGUUAUAGUUCAAAAUUUCCUGAAGAAAAAAUGAGCCAAUUUAAAAUAAAUUGAUGAAAUAAUA